rnacentral:lncRNA from 1 species
AAAACUAUCAGACUUUGGUUUAGUGAGAGACUGUCCAAAGGGAGUCAUGGGUACAUUUGGCUAUGCGACUCCACAGUAUGUGUCAACAGGUACAUUCUAUAUAUUCUCAUAUACCAAACUGGUUUUAUUGUGAAUUUUCAAGAGUAGCGAAAGAAGCAAUCAUAUAUGAUUCUAUAUGUUUGUGUGAUUCUCAGAUCGGGAUGCUCGCAAUUCUCGAGAAAGUGGGAUUGAUAAAUAAUGUUUGAGAAAACGUAAAAAGAGCUAAGUCGCUGCUUACAAAGUGAAGAUGCAAAUAUAUAUAUAGAAAAAGGAGAGUUUUUUUUUCUUUUACUGGAAAGAUAAUUUUGUUUUGAAAAUAAUAUUAACAGUUUAUAUUAUUGCUAAGCAGAAACUAUUUAAAUUUUAGUGAACAUUUAGAAAUGUAUAUUUUACCCUCAAUUGAAUAUAACCUGAAUUUCCACAAUUUUAAUUUUAUUAUUUUUAUAAAUUAUAUGGUUAAUUUAAUUUAUAUUUUUUUUUACUAUUGAUAGUUAAAUUUUUUCAUUCUACUUUAGUUAUAAUAAUAAGUAAAAUAAAAUAAGUGUCUGCAAAAAAUAUCUUAAAACAUAAAUGAUGGGGUUAUUUUCGGCUUUAUCCAUUUAUUAUAGUUACAAUAAAAUUUCAUUAUAAACUUAUACACAUAGUUUAAACCAAAUAAAGUGCGAUAGUUGUUAAAAAAAAAAGUGUGCGAUAGGCACCAUGCAUUUACGUCGGUACAUUUUGAAAGAAAAAUAUACAAUAGCCUUACACUAAUCACUAUGUUUUUUUCUUAUCAAAUCACUAUGUUAUUUCGAUAGAGAGAGGUAUUAAAUAAUUAGCUAUGUUUUGACCAAAAGAUAAAUAAUUAGAUAUGUAGGCCUAUGUUGCAUGGAAACUCCGUUGAAGGUCCGUUUCACGUUUCGGAAACGUUUCGGAAUCGGAAUCUCUCGGAAA